AUUGAACGCUGGCGGCAUGCCUUACACAUGCAAGUCGAACGGUAACGGGCCUUCGGGUGCCGACGAGUGGCGAACGGGUGAGUAAUACAUCGGAACGUGCCCGAUCGUGGGGGAUAACGAGGCGAAAGCUUUGCUAAUACCGCAUACGAUCUACGGAUGAAAGCAGGGGACCGCAAGGCCUUGCGCGGACGGAGCGGCCGAUGGCAGAUUAGGUAGUUGGUGGGAUAAAAGCUUACCAAGCCGACGAUCUGUAGCUGGUCUGAGAGGAUGAUCAGCCACACUGGGACUGAGACACGGCCCAGACUCCUACGAGAGGCAGCAGUGGGGAAUUUUGGACAAUGGGCGCAAGCCUGAUCCAGCCAUGCCGCGUGCAGGAUGAAGGCCUUCGGGUUGUAAACUGCUUUUGUACGGAACGAAAAGCCUUCUUUUAAUACAGGAGGGUCAUGACGGUACCGUAAGAAUAAGCACCGGCUAACUACGUG
rnacentral:rRNA from 1 species